UGGUGGAGUGAUUUGUCUGGUUAAUUCCGAUAACGAACGAGACUCUGUCCUGCUAAAUAGGCCCGACCUUUUUUCUUUUUCUAGCUUGUGGUAGCGUUGUUCGGUUUUGGGUUUGUGGCUAAGGUUCGCCUUGUCGCGGCUCUUGCCUUGCAACGUCCCAGGCUGCGGGUCGGGGAGUUCUUCUUAGAGGGACUGGCGAUUGUUAGUCGCACGAGAUAGAGCAAUAACA
rnacentral:rRNA from 1 species